CGAACUCGGCGCCUCAGAGGUUCGCUGGUUCUCCUCUUCGAGAGUCCGAGGCUUCCACUUCGUGGGCUGCGAGAGUGUCCCAGGCUUCCGAGCGCAGAGGAGCCACGCGGUGCGCCGUGGUCUGGGGGCGCUAACCCUGGCUGCGACCUGGGUGUGUUAGUCCAAGUGACUAUUCUGAUUAUGUCUGCAAUCCUUCAAGAUCUGAAAGGCUUAUUUUGGAAGAACUCACUCAACCUAGCCACCUGGGAUGUUUGAUUUACCCACCUUAUAAGAAAGUUUGUAAAACAUCUGAUAGGUCUGAUUAUCAACAAAAACCAGGAGAUAAGGUGCCUUUUUCAUCUGUUACUAUGGAUCAAGAGGUUAAAAACCUCCGAGAGAAACUUCAUAAACUUAGGCAACAAAAUGCCUAUUUGGUCACACAGAAUCAUUCUUUAAUGACUAAAAUAGAAUCUGUCCACUUUGAAUUGACACACUCAAAAACAAAAAUUGCUAUGCUUGAGUCUACACAAGAGCAGGCAGCCAACAUUCCAAUCUUAGAAGAACAGAUUAUAAAUUUGGAAGCAGAAGUUUCAGCUCAAGAUAAAGUUUUGAGAGAAGCAGAAGAUAAAUUAGAGCAGAGUCAGAAAAUGGUGAUUGAAAAGGAACACAGUUUACAAGAAGCCAAAGAAGAAUGUAUAAAAUUGAAAGUGGACUUACUUGAACAGAGUAAACAAGGAAAA
rnacentral:lncRNA from 1 species